AAAUAAGCUCAGAGUGAGACAUCAUUUCCACAAGAGAUCUUUGUAUCCUAUGUGCGGAAAUGGAGCGAGGGAGCGUCCUGUUCACUAACCUAUCUUUGAUGUACCCUUUCGCUUAUGAUGUCGUGAAAAAGUGCUCCGGCAGUUAUUAAAUAGGGACUAGUUCAUGUUCACGCUAAGAGUGCUCUACACGUUCGCACCUCGGAAAACGUUCGUCUUUUUACAUAAAAACAAGAAAGUCAAGCCUUGUGUGGAAGACCUCUUCUAUUUGUUCGCUAGCUGUCUAACCUCACAGGGUCACGUGUCGUGAGGGCAGCAUAG